rnacentral:lncRNA from 1 species
UUGUGCUUGAUGAUGGUGGCUGGACGGUAUUGCAUAGGAAGCAUAGGGGUUUGGUUUUGUUUGGGUCAAAAAGUUGAAGAAAAGUGUGUGUUGAAGUUGGAUUUAUGAAGGUAGAACUUGGUUUUAUUGUUCUUGAAUCAUUUUGCAAUUGAACUUUGGUUUGUUGGGUGUGUACCUCGGUUUGGAGCUGGGAAGAACCAAUUUGGAUGUUGGUUUGUUGAAGAAAAAAACGAAAUUGGAGUGGAGAAGGAAGAGAGAAGGUGCAUUCAAUUUUUACCCGAUUUGGCCAAGCACAUAUGAUGCUCAUUUUGACUAAAGGAGUGUUUCCACUUUAAGCUUUUUCCUUGCAUUGUUUCUUGCGUGAAUUGCCAUGGAGAAUGGGAUGCUUUGUGUUUGUAUUUGCUUUGACCUUGCUUAUGUGGCACAAGGGUAGCAGAAAUUGAGCACUUUUUGACUUGUGGACUUUUUGAAGCAUUGCUUGCAACCAUUGCAUUGGUGAUUCACGUAAAUUGGUGUCUUGGUGUGUGGAACAAGAAUUUUUGCUGCAUGGAGAGAGGAGUGCACGGUUUUCAUUGUGAUGUGGAAGGCAUAUGUUUGUUGUCUUGAAGUAUGGAGCACAUGUAUAAGAAGUCAACACACCUUGCAUGUUCAUUUAAGGAAGAAAAGUCAAAAUUGAAAUUGGACCUUGGUGGGCUAGGAGCUCACGACCCAAGGGGGUUUCUCAAGCUAUUUGCACCUUUUAAUUUCAAUUGGUAGAUGAAUAUUGGUCACAUAAUUGAUAGAUAAAAAGAGCAUGUUUAAUUAUCUCUUUGUUUUGCAUUAAUUUGCAUAGUAGGAUUAGUUGCAUUUGAUUCCUCUAAUUCAGUGUUGCAUUUUAAUAGUUUUAAUUGUGUUUAGAUAAUUGUUUGUUGAAAUGUUGGGUUUAGCACUUUAUUUUACCUUGAUGUUUUCUAACUUACACAGUUGAGUUUAAUGUCCAUUCAUUUUAAUUUAGUUAUUCGUAUUCACAAAAACACUUUUCAAAACCCCCCCUUUUUCGUGUUAGACUCGACUCUGAACCGCAGUUGGUCCUUGAGAGACGACCUAGGGGUCAUUCCCUAGCAUUAUACUGCAUUUCUAAAUUGCAAUCAAAUUUGUAUGGGCCGUGACACCCAUCAGUGACCUUCUGAGAAGUUUUCCCAAAAAAUGUGUGAGUGAGGACAAAGCACAUUGGAAAGCUUCAUGUUGAUUUGUGGGGGUAGUCAAUAUUCCCUAUAAGUUGUCGGGGCGUUUCAAAUGGUAUCAGAGCCUAGCCUCUCCCAGUACGGUGUGGUUCGAGGACGAACCAAGCGGAAGCUGGUGGGCAUGUGACACCCGGGCACUGACAAGGGCGGGGAGUGAUCGCCGGUGCAAGAGGCACGGACAAGGAGCCGCUCCUGACAGGCUUUCAGUGGAAGGCGCACAUGGAUGAAUCGAACAUACACCGGAAUGAGAGGGAUCUAGAGACUGUAUAGGUAUGGGACUAUACAGUUGAAGAAUAACUUAAAGGAAUUGAUUUGGCUACUCAUAUCAACAAAUGCAUUUGCUUUUCGGUAGCCUAACCCAUAAGAACUCCAUGGUUAAGCGUGCUUA